AACCUAUUUUAUUUCUCCUGCACCACAACCCCGAAAUCCCUUAUCAAACUUUUCCCCAAAUUUUACCCAUUGAAACCCCUUUAAUUUCCCCUUAAAAUUUCCCCCUAAAAUCGGUAUCCCCAAAACACAUCUAAUUUUUCCCCCAAAUCGAAAUCCUUCCACCAUUUCCAUGUCGCCAUACUGAUCCGUAAUCCUCAGCAUCUCUCUCACUGCAUUUCCUGCUUCUCUAAAACUCCAUCUCUAAAUUUCCUUCUCUAAAUCUCCAUCCUUCUGAUUUUCGCCGAAAUCUUGUAAGUCUAAGUUCAAAUCGAAGCAUUUGCAAUCUGUUCCCUUAUUCAUAGGCUAUGAUGGCCUUCUGUUUUCAUACCUUCGUUUUUCCAACUAAUUUGUCCAUCAAAGCGAGAAGUAAUGGUGUUCGGAAGCUUCAAACAGAGGGCACUCUUCUACCAAAAGCUCCCAAGGGUUGGGGAUGGAGGACAACCUUGUUGUUUGAUGAACUUGCUGAUCUUCUUCAAAAUGGCGCCUUGAGAGUAGCUGCCAUGAAUUCUAUAUUUUCAUUUGACAUGAAUUUGUAAAAUGGCAUAUAAGUGUUUGUUGCUUUGUCUCUAUGUAUCGUUCUUUCUAACAUUUUAACGAGUGUAAUAUGUUUCAUUAGUUUAAAAAAUUCGGUGUUUUACGAUCUGCCAUUUUUUGUAUAUGUUUUAGAAACUUCUAUUUUUUGACCGGCGAUGGGAAAGAAAGGGAGUGGAUGGUUCUCGAUGGUGAAGAAAGUGUUCAAAUCAUCUAGCAAAGACUUGCCAGACAAAAAAGUACAGCAGCACCGCAAGGAAGAAAAGCAGAGAGGUUUUUGUUAGGCAGUUAUUAUUAUUAUUCUAAUUAUUAUUAAUAUAAUUAGUAAUAAAUAAUUUCAUGAAAUAGUAAAAAAAAUCCAAUUCCUCAAAAAAGAUGUCUUACACUCCGAAGGAGUACAAAAGCUAGUUUCUAUAAACAUGAAAGAGUUGCUAAGUAUUGCUGCAGAAGACAAGAGGUAGCUUACGUACUUUAAAUUAUUCUUGAUGCAGGAGAUGCUGUGCUAUUUCUUGUACUUUAACAUCCCAUUAUAACACUCUAAGGUCCAUUGUUUAGCAGUUUUUACAUUGCACUCUUUUACUUUGUAUUGAAGUUUUCUCUGCGAUAAACAACUUUAUUUUUCCUGCUUAUUAGUUCCACUUCUAAAUUAUUUAAUUUGGCCAUUCAGUUAUUCACCACCAUUCUUUAAAAAAAAAUUACGUUUUUUCCCUGUAUAUUUGUUUGUAUGUCCAAGUAAGUAAAACUUAGCAAGUUAGAAGUGAAAAACAGGCGUUUAGUUAAUUCUUUUAUGGAGAAAAGUUUUUGUUUAUUUUUGGUUGGUAUUGUUUCCCUGUAAAACAAUGACUUGAAAUACUUCUUUUGGUUGUUAGUUUGAGUGUGCAUACUCCAGGUUUAAAUUCUUGACCUCGAAUGGGAGAUAGUGAAGCAAUAGUUGCUGACUCAUCAGCAAUGAUGGAUUAUACUUCAGCAGCUUAUAAUUCAGCUGGUUCUGGCGCUUACUCCUCCCAGGCUACUGGAUAUCCUACUGCUCCUGAUGGUCACCCAAAUUCUACUGGUCAAGAAGGUCAAAGCAGUGCAAUGUAUGACUGUAAGCCAGCUGGUGGAUCAACAGAUGAGACUGCUGUUGCAGUUGGAAAUACUGCAGUAGAUGCAUCAAAAGCUGCUGGUUGUAAUUAUCCUCUAAGUGGAAAUGUUGUUAAUGUAGCAGGAAAUGCAACCACAGUUGAGAAUGGAAAUGCUUUUGAUAAUUAGGUGGAGCUUCUGCUGCACCAGAGUUUGUGGAUGGUUCUGGUAUGUUUUUCUCGGGCAUUUACUAAUAAGUCAGCUUAGUAAUGAUUUUAAUAUUUUGAUUCAUUUUUCUGCUAUUUGUAUAUCAAGUUAACAAGCCUAUUGUAUGCCAUAAUGACUUGAAACUCCGUUAGCACAGAAGCAGCCUUUUUCUCUUGACACUUUGCCAUUAAGCUUUGUUCCUGAUCAACGUGAUGUGGAUGAUUGUUCUGGGGACAUCUGCAGUCUACACUUAGUUUUUAUUAAAAGCAUCUUAUUCAACAUUUUACCUUCCCCUUUUAUUAUUGUUAUUAUAGUGUUUAAGUUUUAGAAAAUGUGAAACUUAAUUGUUUCUUUAUUUUUAUUUUUGACAUCUGGCACCAACCAUGUCUGCUGAAGAAGAACGUUUAUGGAGUAUUUUGAGAGCCAAUUCAUUGGAUUUUAAUGCUUGGACUGCAUUGAUAGAGGAAACAGAGAAGGUUGCAGAGACAAGAAAUGUGAUGAAGAUGAUUAUAUUCUCACCUACCAGGACAAAGAAGGAGAAUGGCUGAUUGCAGGCGAUAUUCCAUGGCACUGUUGGUUUCAAUUAGAUGAGGCUAACAUCUCCAUCACCGGUGUAUAGAGGUAUCUUCGCCACGUUCCUCGCAGGUUCAAGACAGGUUUCAGGGGAGGUACUGAAGCAGCACUAAGAAAGAAGGUUGCAGCAGCUUCUGCUUAAAAGGCAAAUUGUAAUGGUAUGAGGUUUUGUUUUGGAUGAAGCCAUGUUUAUGAGGAAACAUUUAGUGAUGAAGAGUGAAAUUAUGUUCCAUUGGAUGCUUUAGUUGUUAUUUAGUUUCUAUUUGAAUAUAGCUGUCUUAUAUUUUGAACAUUUAUUGGAGCUAAUGUUUGACCCUUAA